AGAGUUUGAUCCUGGCUCAGCGCGAACGCUGGCGGCAUGGCUAAAACAUGCAAGUCGAACGCGAAAGGGGCUUCGGCCCCGAGUAUAGUGGCGAAAGGGCGAGUAAUGCGUUUCUAACGUGCCCCAAGGUCAGGGAUAGCCCGGGGAAACCCGGAUUAAUACCUGAUUACCCUGCGAGAUCGUAUGGUUUUGCAGGCAAAGGCUUGCUGCCUUGGGAUCGGGAAACGUCCUAUCCGCUAGUUGGUGAGGUAACGGCUCACCAAGGCGAAGACGGGUAACGGGUGUGAGAGCACGGCCCGCCGCAUCGGGACUGAGACACUGCCCGGACUCCUACGGGAGGCUGCAGUAACGAAUAUUCCGCAAUGGGCGAAAGCCUGACGGAGCAAUGCCGCGUGCAGGAUGAAGCCCCUCGGGGUGUAAACUGCUGUCAGG
rnacentral:rRNA from 1 species